rnacentral:tRNA from 1 species
GUCCCCAUAGUUUAAUGGAUAAAACACGACCCUUCUAAGGUUGAGAUGCAGGUUCGAUUCCUGCUAGGGACA